rfam:Shinella sp. HZN7, complete genome.
AGGCGGACCGUGUCAACCGGACGCGACGGGGAUGGAGAACACGGGCGUUUUUCCGGUUUCUUCCCGUGGCCAACGAAACGGCAGUCGAGCUCCCCACCUGUCCGGUCC